CACAGUGCAGAAUAGGGACUGUUACCCCUACAUAGGGUCACUUGGCAGAUAUGGAUUGACACCUGUCCUCAGAGACCAUGAUACACAGACACAGAGCAGAAUAGAGAGUGUUGCCCCUACAUAGGGUCACUUGGCAGAUAUGGAUUGACACUGUCCACAAGGACAAGCUGCAGGCUUCCUGGCAGGGCCCAUACAAGGUGGUAGAGCAGGUUUGUGAUACCACCUUUUUAAUCGGUGCGGUCACAGGCACGGGAGGCAAGCGCAUGCUCCAUGUGAACAUGCUCAAGCCAUACCACGAGCGCACGGAAGAGGUAACCGCGAUCUGUGCACCUGCCACUGAAGAUUAUGAUAAUUUGCCACUCCCAGAUCUCCUAGACCUAGAGGGCCAGAGCGGAGACCUGGGAGAAGUACAGUUAGGAGAACGGUUAGACCCCCAGGAGCGAACCCAGGUCCAAAGACUAAUCCAGGACAAGGGGGCCACGUUUUCCAACCUACCUGGGUACAGUCCGUUAACCAGUC